GUUGACAUCAUAUGUUAACAAGCAAACACUUGCAUAGUCGGAACAUUUAACAUUCAAAAGUAAACAAGUUAAGUGAUGGAUCACCACCGCCAGUGUGUAACGUUAAAACAAACACAAUACUUGUAGAAAGCAAACACCACAAUUCAGUCAUUGAUGCACCUUUUGUAACAAAAGGUAAUAACAUAGCAAGUGAUAUACAAAGCCAAGGAUGAAUUGCCCGCCCGGUACCAUGGUAUCCGGACAACUGGAAGCACAAUGCUAGGUCCCACUGCACACAAGACCCCCACUGGUUUGCAUGCUUCCUCCCAUGUGGGUAGCCAGGCUUGAGAACCUGUGAUCUGCCUGCCUAAAAAUGGCGGCACCACUAGAGACAUUGGUGAUACCAGAGCAGGUCGCUUGAAGUGCCAGAUUGGCCAAUUCUUGAACGAUAACUUUCAAGUUCUGAUGUCUCAUUCCUUUGAUGCAACUGGAUGGUAUCUGGGAUGACAUGCACGUUACCUGUGGAAGUUGGAUUAGACUGUUGGAGCCUUUUUGUGCUGAGAAAGCGUCCACCGGAACCCCUAACCCGAUUUAAUGCAUGCAGAUGCCGAGACUCAUGAAGAUAUGGCUUUCGACUUUUGACAAGCUUGUUCUGAGCCUCUAGCUUUGCACGUGAUUUUCUCCUCCUGAGAAUUCCAUGGUACUGUUUUGCAUUAACAUAAAUGGGCCCAUCAUCCGCAAGAUCAAGAGGCAGGGGAACUCGUGCUGUUGUCAUCCCCACCAUCUGAGAACCCAGAAUGGCCUGUGGUCCAUAUGGAGUAAAUAGUCCACCGAAGUAAUUAUCAGCAUUGGGAAAUGGAGCUCGAGCCAUUGAGUGACUAUCGUCAGUCUGUGAAGUAUUAAGUGCAAUUUCUGGAGUACUAAACAAGAAAACUGGCUUCAUCCUGCCUUCUGCACCCUUCCCACAACCUUCAUCUUGACCAGAUUCAGAUGAAAUGCAUUGAUCUUGUGAAUUGGUCUCCCCCACAGUGCCCACUUCAUUGUGAGAUUGACCAAUUGAUUGAGUUGAAGAUGAUUCUUGGUCCAGGAGCUGAAGACCAAAAUGCUUUGCUUUGUGAUAAAGUUGGGAUGGAGAUUCCACUUUUAAGCCUAUAUUCUUGGAUAAAGACUGCGAUAUUUGCUGUUCAUUUGAAUGCCACCAGGAUGGGCUACUAAAAAUAAAGGGGGCUUGACCAAAAUUUUUCUUGGGCAAGUUCUGAAUUCGUACAGCCAUCUAGUUUAUCUAUAUGUCACGAAUUUGAUGAAAAUCCUUAACAAAGCACUGAUUCUUUUUGCUAGCUUUUGAUAUUACUGAUUAGCUGUCUUUGGGAUCUGGUAAGUCAAGUAGAAGCAACGAAUUGAGCUGUUGGGAAGAACUUAGGCAUGUCUCCUCUCUUGAAACUCUCCACGAAAACCUCUCUCUCUCUCUCUCUCUCUCU
rnacentral:misc_RNA from 1 species